ensembl:miRNA
CGUCCUCUGCUGCUGCUUCUUCACACAGAUCUUGUGAAGAAGAGUCACGCUGAGAGGAAACA